rnacentral:misc_RNA from 1 species
GUAGGUGAACCUGCGGAAGGAUCAUUAGUGAAUUCAACUCUGUGGAGGCAGCAAUGUCACCACAUGCAGUCGGGUCCCCCGCGGCCCGAUUGUGGAAUACACAUCCAUAACACCUGUGAACUGUUUGUCAGGCCCUUUGGCUUCGGCCCCUGGACUGGACUACAAUACAAACUUACUCUGUAAAAAAUGUCGAAAUACAAAAACAAAAUAAAACUUUUAACAACGGAUCUCUUGGCUCUCGCAUCGAUGA